rnacentral:rRNA from 1 species
CUGCCCUUCCAUCCCUUGGAUAGAUAGAGAGGGAGGGCAGAGCUUUUUUUGGUUUUUUCAUGUUGUCAAAGAGUUGAACAAUGGUUUUUUCGUGUUGUCAAAGAGUUGAACAAUCAAAAUAGAUGGCGAGUGCCUAAUCGAAUUGAUCGGGUCAUGUAGGAACAAGGUUCAAGUCUACCGGUCUGUUAGGAUGCCUCAGCUGCAUACAUCACUGCACUUCCACUUGACACCUAUCGUGAUGAUAAACGGCUCAUCUCGCCGUGACCUUC